GAUGAACGCUAGCGACAGGCUUAACACAUGCAAGUCGAGGGGCAGCGGGGUAGGAAGCUUGCUUUCUGCCGCCGGCGACCGGCGCACGGGUGAGUAACACGUAUGCAACCUGGCCGUGACAGAUGGAUAACCGGGAGAAAUCCCGCCUAAUACAACAUAAUGCCGGGAGGGGACAUCCCCUGCCGGCCAAAGGGGGCGACCCCGGUCAUGGAUGGGCAUGCGGCGCAUUAGGUAGUUGGUGGGGCAACGGCCCACCAAGCCGACGAUGCGUAGGGGUUCUGAGAGGAAGGUCCCCCACACUGGUACUGAGACACGGACCAG
rnacentral:rRNA from 1 species